rnacentral:misc_RNA from 1 species
GAUGAAGAACGUAGCGAAAUGCGAUACGUAAUGUGAAUUGCAGAAUUCAGUGAAUCAUCGAGUCUUUGAACGCACAUUGCGCCCCCUGGUAUUCCGGGGGGCAUGCCUGUCCGAGCGUCAUUGCUGCCCUCAAGCCCGGCUUGUGUGUUGGGUCUCGUCCCCCUUCCCGGGGGGACGGGCCCGAAAGGCAGCGGCGGCACCGCGUCCGGUCCUCGAGCGUAUGGGGCUUUGUCACCCGCUCUGUAGGCCCGGCCGGCGCUUGCCGAUCAACCAAAACUUUUUUCCAGGUUGACCUCGCAUCAGGUAGGGAUACCCGCUGAACUUAAGCAUAUCAAUAAGCGGAGGA